GGUGUAGCUCAGUGGUAGAGCACAUGCUUAGCAUGCACGAGGUCCUGGGUUCAAUCCCCAGUACC
rnacentral:tRNA from 1 species